AACAUCGCGCACCUGCGGGAACCUGCGGAGGGAUCAUUAGAAUAAGGAGGGAUCGAUCCGAUCGAUUCUCCCAUAUCCAACCCCUGUGUGCACUUAUUGACCGUUUGCUUUGGCAGGAAAAACAAGGAGGAGCCCUCCGAUCCGGAGGGGGUCGACCUUGAAAGGGAGGGUGAUAUGCGUUAUGUCAUGUCAUGUAGCGCCUAGGCCUUCUCGGCCUGCCAGAGUUUUUGUUCGCAAACU
rnacentral:misc_RNA from 1 species